rnacentral:RNase_P_RNA from 1 species
GAGGGCGGGUAGAUGGUCGCGCGCCCAGGCGUGAGGAAAGUCCGGGCACCAUAGGGCAGGGUGGUGGCUAACGGCCACCGUCUGCAAGGAUAGGGAAAGUGCCACAGAGAACAGACCGCCGACCCCCUCGGGGAUCGGUAAGGGUGAAACGGUGGUGUAAGAGACCACCGCGGGCGAUGGUGACAUCCCCGGCACGGCAAACCCCACCCGGUGAAAGGCCAAAAAGGGAGGUUGGAGCGGCCCGUUCCUUACCUCCGGGUUGGCCGUUGGAGGCGUCGGGCAACCGGCGUCCCAGACAAAUGACCGUCCACGACAGAACCCGGCUUACCGCCCGCUCCUCGGAC